CCUCCCUCACUUAUGUCGCACUUUCUCUUUCACCUUUUUCCCUCAGUUCUUUCUUAUUUGCCCCAUCUCCUCUGUUGAUCUCUUGUUUGUCUCUUGUACAUCUCUGAGGUGCUGCUCUUUCUUGGCAGUAUGGGCAGGCUUCAGGAGCUGUGCCUCUUCUGUUUCUCCUCAGUCCUCUUGGGUGAUCUUGGUUCAGUUCAACUAAGCUGCUUACAUGCCUUUCUCCUUUACUCGGGUACAGCCAGCACUGUAGAGAGAGUGUGGCUUGCAUUGCUCAAAUGAUAAUAGAGUGUAGGAGGAUGAAGAUUAUAAGGAAUUUGAGCAGAUGCUGUUUUUGUUUAUGAAAUCCCUUACUUCUAUUCUUCACCAGAUAUUUUAUGUCAUGAUAAAAAUCUUGUGAAUCCAGCAAUUAAAGAGUUAACCUGCCCCUGACCUAGACACAAACAGGAUUAGUGGGUCUGUGAAUUUUCAGUAGCCAACUCCCAGGCAAGUAUAUCUGGAACUGGACUGAAUGGCGUCUGUGCUGGAUAGUGUGUGUGUGUGUGUGUGUCUGUGUGUGUGUGUGUGUGUGUACACCUCCCCCUGGCCCCUACUCCACUCCUCCUCCCAAUUCUGUGGUUAGCCCUGCCCCUGUUCAUCACAUGACUUCUCUGAAAGGCCCCCUCCUGCUGCCUUCCCCCAUGUUUCCAGUAAAUUGCUUGAAAGGAGGGGGUGAGUCAGACCAGCUUCCCUUUAACCACAGCUUGUUAAAGAAUUUGUCAACGUGGACUCCAGGGCACACAUGACCCCUCCCCUUUCCUCUUUGCAAAAGAUUUGAAUGUUUUGCUCCUUUCUUUGGAACGGUCUUUAGAUCGGAUUACGUCAGGUACCCAUAAUCACUCUACUUCCUGUGACACACUGUAAAAAGGGUAGGCAUGAAGCAUAGAGAGAGGGGAGGGGUAAUGAGAGAAAUAAAAAAGUGUGUGUGUGUGUUUUGUGGGGGGGCACUAGAGCAUGCAUCUGACUAAUCCAGAAUUAAAUGAGUUAAACAAGUUGAUUGAGUGUUUAGUCAAUUCUAUCUUUUGUCUAUAUGUGUAAGUUUUGGCAUCUUUCUAUCUAUGGCAGCCUGUUGCAAACUCACUCUUCUGCACUGCUGGGUACAACAGCUUUUGUUCAAAAACCAUUUCUUGAAACCUGAGGAGGUCUUCUGUGGUUGUGGCCCAUCUUCCUGAAGAUUAGAUGUGUUUCAAUGCCAUAACCUGAUAAUCAGGAAACAACUGGAUGCACUAGAACACUGGAAAGCUUCACACUUGAACAAAUGAUUCAUAAUGGGCCUCACUUUAACACAAUGACUCAAGUGAUUUGGUGAACGAGAGAUGCACAUGAAUCACUUACCCAUGGAGAACAGAUCAGGUUCACCAUACAUGCAAUUUAAUAAUACAAGCAAAAAAAAAUAAGAUAAACUGAAUAUAUAACAUAAUAAUGGAAUGAUUAAUUUAAACAGUGACAUGUUGAAUGGAAUUAUAAUUGUGAAGCCAGUCAGCAACAUCUGAACAAAAGAAAUGACUCAAUGCAUAUCAGUGCCUAAAAACAAUCCAUUUAUAUUAGUGACACAUCAAAAAAAACAGAAUUAUUUAGUAAUGAGAUAAGUCUAAUUCCUUUUUUUGUAGGCAAACACAGAUAAUAUUCAUAGAGGACAAUCUUAUUUGAUACGGUCAUGGCUGUUUGCUUUGGGGAAAAAGUAAUGAGAGAAAAAUAAGAGAUUUCAAACUUAUUAAAGUCACACUAGUCCACUGCCCUCUGAAAUUUCAGUCUAAACUUCAAUGACUAGUUAAGGUUUAGAUGGAAUAAAAGUUAACUCUAAUCUUGGUUUAUGUAGAGCAACAAUAGAAAACAUAGGAGCUUGUAUACAGCCAUUUACAUAUAAACUAUGGGUUAAGAAUCCAAUAAUUAUCAUUUAUCUAUGAAUAAAGUCCAUGUACAUUUUGGACUUCAAAAACAAAUAUAAUCUUUACUUGACAAGAGUAAAACUGAGAAAGUGUUUUGUAAUAUUACAUUUCAGAUGUUUUGUGGAAGAACUCAAAACGCAUUAAUUUCAUUAAAUUUACAGUUUAAUUUGCCAAUAAGUUGUCAAAUGAUUUUGUACAUAAUUCUGAUUAAUGUUGGAUGGUCUUACAGAUAGUCACCAGGACAAUCAGGACCUCAGAAUCCGUGUGAAAAAAAAAAUUAAAAAUUAAAAUAGCCGAGCAAUGGCAAGUAAUGGUGGGAAAUUCCGACACCAGUGAACUUAAAGUACACAGAGAGUAAAUUUAACAUUUCAUGAUAAAGAUUAGUAGAGUUAUUCUGCUUUCUCCUUAACUCAUUUGUUCAUCUUCAAUAACCUCCUCCUUCUUAGAAUAGACAAAGACCUAUUUUUCUGUUUAAACUUAUCUAAAAGAAAUAAUGGUGUGUGUGUGUGUGUGUGUGUGUGUGUAUUUGUGAGGACCAAAAAUAACAAAUGUCCUCACAAUCAUCUAAAAUAAAAAAUAGUAUUUUCACUACUUGAUUUCUUUUGAUUGAUUUUUGAGUGUAAAGGUAAAGAAAAAAAUUAAGGGGCUAGUUAUGGAACAGUUAUGAUAGUCAAUAAUUAUUUGAAAUGAUCUUGUCAGUAAUUGAACAAAUUAAAUUUUCAAACAAAUGAAAGGUCAAAUGAACAAUAGAAUGUACAAAGUUAAGUCAGUAACAUUACAUUACAGCACUACUGAAAGUUUUUAAAUGCCCAGGCUAUUGUUUGAGUUGUUUGUUACUCUCUUGGCAAGCUUGGAUUGAUUGUCUUAUUGUAUGGGCUGAGAUGGCAGCCCGAAGCAAGAGUACUGUGCAAAAAUCUUAGAUACCCUUUAUAUUUUUAAAUACAUAUUUUUAUGUAUUACGUGCCUAUUUCAUGACUUAAGUCAUUUAAAAAUAGUUCCAAACAUUACUUUUCCAACAAAAUGUGAACUGUAGAUAAAAUAAAUUUGUAUAUCAUUACAAAAAAUACUAUGGCAGGUUCUCCAAGAUGCUUAGAAAAAAUGUAUCAGUCAGAAUUCUCAUAAAAUGUACCUGUACAUGGGAGUAUAUGCAUUUUUAUAGGUCUGGGCUGUCAUGGCAAAUAUUGACUAUGUUUAUUUUAGUGCAGAUUACUACUCUUUAUUGUUGGUUUUUUAAUGCGAAAAUUGUUUCAUUUCAUUAUUUUUAAAGGCAUCUUUGCAUUACAGCAUUUAUUUAUGUGACUUGGACUUGCACACUACAGUGUGUAGCAAAUAAAUGGCACAUACAUGUAUGCACUCACCUUUAUAUUAUAUAGUCUUUUAUGUCCAGAGGGUAGUACACACAUUAUUAUAACAUUACUAAGACAAAGAAAUCAUAGAUCACCCUCUCCGGCUUCCACAGAAGACAUUCUCUGAAAAGUAAUGAUUGGGGGUGGGGUGGUAUGCCUAGGAAGAACACAAGACAGGAAAGACACAUCCUGAUGACUGGCAAUCCUUUUUCAGUGGGAACUGUUGCCAUGUUUUUUCCAGGGCCUUUUGGCUGAGGCUUAUCAGAAUUUCAGGGAGAUACGGUACAAUGUAUUCUUGUGAUAGGUCAAUCUACAAAACAGCAAAUAAAUGACCAUCAUGAUUUCCACACUUAUAUAGUGCAUAUGAUUUUGUGCACUUAUGAAUUUGGCUAUCAAAAGGAGUAUAUUAUUUCUGUGAUCUAUCUAUAUCAUUAGUGUGAUUGGGUAUACAACAACAGGACAGUUUUCUUACUUAUUUUUCUUAUUUUCUCUUAUUUUGAUGUGUUGUGUGAGAGGGAGAUUAACACUUUAGGGAUCUAAAUCCAUAAAUAGAUUUAUGUAAAGCUGCUGGGAUAAUGUCCAUUGUUGACAACCCUCUCUGUCUCAGUCUGUGAAAUCUGAUAUCAAGGAAGUGGAUAGUGUGGUAGAGAAGCAUUAACAUUAACUGGUCUAUAGUUUAAUAUAUUAUAUUAUUUAUAUAAUAUAUUAAUUAAUUAACAAAUCAUAAUUUUGGAUUAUUAAAAUGUUUUUGUUGACCAUGGAUGUUUUUAUUUAAACAGGGAAAAGCUUCAUGGAAGGUUCACCUAACAACCAAGCUUGAUUAGGUUCUGCAAAUCAGUUAUAUACACCAUUAAGCUCACCUUUGACUAGAGUACUCUUCUUUAUUUUAUAUAGUCACUAUUUUCUGCAAUAUUUUAUCAUCUAGCCAGUUUGUGGGUCCUGAUGGCUUCCCAAGCCUUAUUCAAGAUGCAUGUGCUUCUGUGUAUGUAUCAACAGAAAGCAAGCUUAAAUGCAAAUUUUUAAAUGUAUCAUAAAAUGUAUUUUUUGUUUAAUGUUUCUUGCAGCUUCAGUUUCUCUCCUUUCACAUUGUCAUCUUCUGGGAUGAGUUUUUUGAUGAGGUUGUAUCAGCAUUUAUAAUCUUGAAUCUACAACAGAUCAUUCAAUAAAGGAAAUUGAGAUGAAGCUAAUUUAUUAUAAAAUUUUCCUCAUAUGCAUUGGCGGACUUAACCAAUAAACGAGGUAAGCAGCCGCUUAGGGCUUAGCAGCCCUUAGGGGCCCCCAACCAAUACCAAGAAGCCUAUAUAAAUCAUAUAGUACUUAUUACUUUUCUAUCAUAUAUUGUAUGGUCUGUCUAUAACCAUUAAGAUUUUAAUGUCAUUAUUACAUCUUUUCAAAUGCGCCCCCCCCCCCAUUAUUCAUGAAUAGUGGAAAGUUCCUACCGUACUGCACAUGCGCGAGAUUCCCAUACCUGGAAUCGCUUAGGGCCCUUAAAUCACUAAGUCCGCCCCUGCUCAUGUGUCUAUAUUCAUUUCACACACAAAUGGUCUUAAACACAAUGUUGCUUCUGCACAGACAUUAUGACAUAGCCCAUGGCUUCAAUCAAUACACAGUAUACACAAUGGCCCUUACACACUUUUUUUUCUCUCAACUUACUGACAUAAUUUAAAGUUCUCUUUUACACACUGCACAUCAUACUUGUAACAUCCUCACCUAGAGUGUGUGCCAAUACCUCAGGACAUGUAUCUGUUUAAUUUCCUGUACUCCCAUCAGAUCAUGAAUAUUCAUGUGGUACAGUGUGUGUGUACUCUAUGUAUUUGUACCCUGAGUCGAUUUUAUUAACUAUAUUAUUAUUAAAAUACAUAUAUAAAUUUCAUAA